UUGCUUGCUUCAGCAGUGCAUAUACCAAAAUUAUAGUGAUACAGAGAAAACUAGCAUGGCACCUGUGGAAGGGUGACACGCAAACCCAUCAUGUAUUCUAUAUUUUU
ensembl:snRNA U6 U6 spliceosomal RNA